AUUGAACGCUGGCGGCAUGCCUUACACAUGCAAGUCGAACGGCAGCGGACCUUCGGGUGCCGGCGAGUGGCGAACGGGUGAGUAAUGCAUCGGAACGUGCCAUUGAGUGGGGGAUAACGUAGCGAAAGUUGCGCUAAUACCGCAUAUUCUGUGAGCAGGAAAGCAGGGGGACCGCAAGGCCUUGCGCUCUUUGAGCGGCCGAUGUCAGAUUAGCUAGUUGGUGAGGUAACGGCUUACCAAGGCGACGAUCUGUAGCGGGUCUGAGAGGAUGAUCCGCCACACUGGAACUGAGACACGGUCCAGACUCCUACGGGAGGCAGCAGUGGGGAAUUUUGGACAAUGGGGGGCAACCCUGAUCCAGCCAUGCCGCGUGAGUGAAGAAGGCCUCGGUUGU
rnacentral:rRNA from 1 species